GGCUGGUCUGAAGGUAGAGAGUUAUCUCUAUUGAUGGUUCACAGUCAGUUACAGAGCUUGCUCCUUGUUCUCUUUCCCCCCUUCUCACUAUUGCACUUGACUAGUCUUAA
rnacentral:Y_RNA from 1 species